AGGAUUCAGACUGAAUGCCUGUUGUGUUUUCUCUGAUGUAUACAAACUAUAAGAGUAAAUUAUAUCUGAAUUGGACCCUUCAUCUCUAUCUGUCGCGUUUAAUUUCACGACAAGGCUUCCAAUCGGUGCAUUUUCUGUCAGGUUUAUAGUAUAACUGUCUUCAUCGAAUUGAGGGGCGUUGUCAUUAGUGUCCAGAACGCGCACAAUAAUACUAGCAGUGCCAGAGCGCGCGGGGACUCCUCCAUCCACAGCAGUGAGUAUCAGAUUAUGUGAAUUUUGUUUUUCUCUGUCUAAAGGCCUUUUCAGAAUUAAAU